rnacentral:misc_RNA from 1 species
CAGCUCUCUCUGUGCCGUGCCCUCAUGCUGCACACUGUCACCUCUGCUACAAAACAUAUCCAUGCUUGCCGAGUGAAAGGCGAAUGGGCGUGCGUCGUGAGCGCUUGCAGCCUGCGACAAUGGAUUGCUGGCACUGCCUGCGCUACUCUCGUCAGAAGGCCGGCUGCCUGGGAUAUGCCGCGUUUGCGUCGACAACGCCGCCGGCCUGCCUUAGGCAGCCCAGCUCGGGGCCACAGUCGCGGCAGCAGCAGCAGCAGCGGGGCGGUGGCAUGGCUGCGGCCACCGCGGACGGGGGUGCAGCAGGCGUCCGGCUGAGCGGCCACACGCUGGAUAAGGCCACCAAGGCCAAGGUGCACCUGGAGAACUACUACUCCAACCUGGUCACCCAGCACCUAGAGCGCAAAGGCCGCCACGAGCGCCUCGAGGAGACCAUGCGUGAGGAAGGGCUCUCCGAAGAGCAGAAGAAAGAGAAGCGGAUGCAGCACUCGCUGAAGGAGACAGAGUUCCUGCGGCUCAAGCGUUCGCGACUAGGUGUAGAAGAUUUUGAGCCACUCAAGGUGAUUGGCCGAGGUGCCUUUGGUGAGGUCCGGUUGGUCCAAAAGCGUGACACAGGCCACGUCUAUGCCAUGAAGAUCCUUCGCAAGGCUGACAUGCUCGAGAAGGAACAGGUGGCGCAUGUUCGUGCUGAGCGUGAUGUGUUGGUGGAGGCUGACCACCAGUGGGUGGUGAAGAUGUACUACAGUUUCCAAGACGCCAUCAACCUGUACCUCAUCAUGGAAUUUCUCCCUGGCGGGGACAUGAUGACACUGCUGAUGAAGAAGGACACCCUGUCGGAAGAGUGCACCCAGUUCUACAUAGCAGAGACGGCACUGGCCAUCGACUCCAUCCACAAGUUGGGCUUCAUCCACCGUGACAUCAAGCCUGACAACCUACUGCUGGACGCUAGGGGGCACAUAAAGCUUUCGGACUUUGGCCUCUGUACGGGUUUAAAGAAGUCCCACCGGACAGAAUUCUACCGGGAUCUGUCGCAGGCCAAGCCGUCGGAUUUCACAUCAAACCCGAUGGACUCCAAACGGCGAGCUGAGAGUUGGAAGAAGAACCGACGCCAACUGGCAUACUCCACAGUGGGCACACCCGACUACAUUGCGCCCGAGGUGUUCCUGCAGACGGGCUACAGCAGCUCCUGCGACUGGUGGUCCCUGGGCGUCAUCAUGUACGAGAUGCUCAUAGGCUACCCGCCGUUCUGCUCCGAGACCCCCCAGGAGACGUACCGCAAGGUGAUGUCAUGGCGCGAGACGUUGGUGUUCCCGGCCGAGGUGCCGAUCUCGGAGGACGCGCGGGCCCUCAUCCAGGGUUUCUGCUCAGAGGCCGAGCGCCGCGUUGGUGCCCACGGUGGCUUGGCGCAGAUCCAGGCGCAGGCCUUCUUCCGCGGCGUUGACUGGGAGCACAUCCGCGAGCGACCCGCAGCCAUCCCCAUGGAGGUCAAGAGCAUUGAUGACACCUCCAACUUCGACGAUUUCCCCGACGUUGACCUCAAGAUCCCCUGUGCCCCUCCUGUGACGCCGAGCAAGGAGCACGUGGAGGCUGGCUACAAGGACUGGGUCUUCAUCAACUACACCUUCAAGCGCUUCGAAGGGCUCACGCAGCGUGGUGUCAAGCCUCCCAAGAAGUGCUGACUGGCAUGGCUGCACGACGACAGAUUAAGCAAAGUGCGCACGGACACUGAGCGUGCGCAGUGCGACAACUCGUGGACUCUGUGGUGUGCAAGCUUUUAUGGCCGGUGCGUCACUGCUGCAUCAUUUUUCUUGACGCUGGUGAUACCUUUUGCCCGAUCCUUCUUUCCCGGGGGAUUAGUCUGAUGAGACACGGACCGCGUGUGUGUGUGCCACGUGCGCGGGCACUUCCUGUGAGAAGGCGUCGGUCAGCGUGACAUGGAACGUGUUUGUGUGAGUGGUUGUAUGUGUGUGUGUGUCCGGUCUGGGAAGGUGGUUGGUGUUGACACUCGAGAGACUUCGGAAGAUGUGUUGGAAGAUAGGCUGCUGGAUGUGUCUGCUGCACUGGCACGGCUGGAAGUUGCAGGUUUCAAGAGCUGAUUUGAGGCAUGAAUAAGCAAGC